CAAAUGAAGAGUUUGAUCCUGGCUCAGGAUGAACGCUGGCGGCGUGCCUAAUACAUGCAAGUCGAACGCUGGAGAUCUAGCUUGCUAGAUCGAAGGAGUGGCGAACGGGUGAGUAAUACAUAAGCAACCUACCCACGAAGACUGGGAUAAUCUCUGGAAACGGGGACUAAUACCGGAUAGGUAAUCGGAAGGCAUCUUCUGGUUAUUAAAGGUUAAAAACACUGGUGGAUGGGCUUAUGGCGCAUUAG
rnacentral:rRNA from 1 species